GACGAACGCUGGCGGCGUGCUUAACACAUGCCAGUCGAACGGACAGGCCCUGCGCUUGUUUUUUUCUCGUUUGCCGAACGGGGGAGUAACACGUGUGUAACCUGUCCUUGACUUUGUGAUAACUUCUCGAAACUGGGGCUAAUACCGCGUAGAAUCUCCUGCUGCAUGUUGUUGGUUGGAAAGUUUCGGCGGUGGGGGAUGUACUCGCGGCUUAUGCGCUUGUUUGUGUGGUAGUUACUUACCAAGCUUACGACGGGUAGCCGGCCUGGGAGGGUUAACGGCCACAUUGGGACUGCGAUACGGCGCAGAAUCCUACGGGAGGCAGCAGUGGAGAGUAUUGCACAAUGGGCGGAAGCCUGAUACGGAAACGUCGCGUGCGGGAUGCCGGCCUACGGGUGGUAAACAGCUUUCGAAGGUGACGUAGAGUGAGUGACGGUAACGGGUAAAGAAGCAACGGCUAACUACGUG
rnacentral:rRNA from 1 species